UACGUAGGGUGCAAGCGUUAAUCGGAAUUACUGGGCGUAAAGCGUGCGCAGGCGGUUCUAUAAGACAGAUGUGAAAUCCCCGGGCUCAACCUGGGAACUGCAUUUGUGACUGUAGAGCUGGAGUGUGGCAGAGGGGGAUGGAAUUCCGCGUGUAGCAGUGAAAUGCGUAGAUAUGCGGAGGAACACCGAUGGCGAAGGCAGCUCGCUGGGACGGAACUGACGCUAAGGCGCGAAAGCUAGGGGAGCAAACAGG
rnacentral:rRNA from 1 species